rnacentral:rRNA from 1 species
UACGUAGGGUGCAAGCGUUGUCCGGAUUUAUUGGGCGUAAAGAGCGCGUAUGCGGUCAUCUGAUUGUGCUGUGAAAACUCGAGGCUCAACCUCGAGCUGUCGGUGGAAACUGUCUGGCUAGAGUCCGGAAGAGGAGAGUGGAAUUCCUGGUGUAGCGGUGAAAUGCGCAGAUAUCAGGAAGAACACCUAUGGCGAAGGCAGCUCUCUGGGACGGUACUGACGCUGAGACGCGAAGGCGUGGGGAGCGAACAGG